rnacentral:ribozyme from 1 species
AGUUUCUUGGCACGAAAGUGAUGAGGAUGGUGAGCGACUCGCAGGAUGGAAUGUGGCAAGCCUCAAGUCGGCAACAAAGGGGUUUAAAGCUUCAGAAGAAGAACUACCGUACAGGAAUGC